rnacentral:rRNA from 1 species
GACGAACGCUGGCGGCGUGCCUAAUACAUGCAAGUUGAGCGAUGAAGCUUGGUGCUUGCAGCAAUUUGAAGAGCAGCGCACGGGUGAGUAACGCGUGGGGAAUCUGCCUUUGAGCGGGGGACAACAUUUGGAAACGAAUGCUAAUACCGCAUAACAACUUUAAACAUAAGUUUUAAGUUUGAAAGAUGCAAUUGCAUCACUCAAAGAUGAUCCCGCGUUGUAUUAGCUAGUUGGUGAGGUACAGGCGCACGAAGGCGAUGAUACAUAGCCGACCUGAGAGGGUGAGUGGCCGGAUUGGGAGUGUGACAGGCCACAUACGGACUCAGAAGGGAGCAGUAGUGAUUCGGGGGCAAGGGGCGAAAGUCAGAGCGAGAAACGCCGCGGGAGUGAAGAGGAAUGUCGGAUGGUAGAUCUCGGUUGUUAGGGAGGAACGUUGGUGAGAGUGUAAAGCACAUCGAGUGACGGUAACUACUCAGAAAGCGACGGCUAACUACGUG